rnacentral:rRNA from 1 species
GACAGAGGAUGCAAGCGUUAUCCGGAAUGAUUGGGCGUAAAGCGUCUGUAGGUGGUUUAUUAAGUCUACUGUUAAAGAUCAGGGCUUAACCCUGAGCAGGCAAUAGAAACUAAUAAGCUAGAGUACGGUAGGGGCAGAGGGAAUUCCCGGUGUAGCGGUGAAAUGCGUAGAGAUCGGGAAGAACACCAACGGCGAAAGCACUCUGCUGGGCCGAAACUGACACUGAGAGACGAAAGCUAGGGAGCAAAUGGG